UAUCGGGCUGUGACGCGUCCUAACGGAACGAACACAGCCCCGCCCGGGGGGCGCUACUUGCCCGUCCGAGGGAAUGCGUGAGGGCGUCGAACGGGGCGGUGACAGUGAGUGACGUAGUUGGUUUGCCCACGUGCCCUCAGUCUCCAUGGAAACAGCGACACAUGGCUAUGCCGGGUUUAGCGCCUGUCGCUCUCCCAGCGGUGUGAGCUGCGCAGAGUCACCUGCCGCGGGGCCCGGACCUGGAGCCAACGUUAAACGUCAGUAGGGGAGCAGCGUUCCCCGCUCCCCGUGUGCACAAGGAGCCCUGGGGCCGGGCUGGCCACGGGAGAGAAACGCGCUGAGCGGGCUGGGCUACACCGGGCGUCGGUGAAACUCCUCCAGCCCCAAGCAAUGCUCAGUCUCGCGCUGUGCCCGCUGCGGCACGUUAGCGGCGGGUGUCUGUUGGAAGCGCGCACCUGAUGCGCCUGCUUUAAUUUGGGCCCGAGUGUGAACCUCCCAGUCUGCAGGGUGAAAUUGACCGGAGUGUGGCUGGGCGGCUCGAGUCCAGUCCAGCGAUCGGCUCCCUUAAGCCUUGUUGUGAGCGUUUAAGUCAGAUGUAUUAUGGAAAGCCCAGUGGACCUUUGUUUUACUGAAGAAGGAUGUAGCCAUGACAUAGUUCUUGAGAAACAAGUGUUUAGAUCCAAAGUGCCAGAGUCUCAUGUUCAACUUGCUUGUAAUCUACAUUACUGUGCUUUUCCUUUGAAUGGAAAUGAGCUAUGCAUCUGGAAUACUGGCGAUAGCCCAGCUCAUCAUCAGCCAUUGCACUUGGUAGGACAUCACCAUUCAAUCACAGCACUGGCGUUUGGAAGUAAAAUCAAUCCACUUCUGGUCUGCUCUGCUUCUUGUGACUAUGUGAUAGUAUGGAACCUGGAUGAGUGCAUAAAGAAAGCACUACAAGGAUUAAUGCCUCGAGGAAUUGUUAUAGGAACUCUUUUGGGAAUGGUACUUUAUGUACGAUUUAGUCCAGAUGACCAGGCUGUGGCAGUAUGUGCUGGAAAUCGGAUAUAUAUGUUAAAUGCAAAGAAUGAGGCUAUAUUAACUGAGUUGGAAGGCCAUCUGGCUCCAGUGACUGCAGCUGAGUUUUGCACCUGGGAGAGAAAUAUGCUUAUAUCAGUCUCUGAAGACAGAAGCUUUAAGGUUUGGGACUAUUGUACUGGAUUGCUAAUAUACCAAUCAGCAGUGUUAACAGCAUUUCCUUUGCUAAGUCUGUUCAUUGAUGAAGAAAAUAAACAGAUUAUUACAGGAUGUGCUGAUGGGCAGCUUUGGAUCUUCAGUUUGCUCAGUGGACACCAGUACCGUUGUGUGGUACAUAUAAACUUAAAGAAAGAGCGAGAUAAAUUCUACAGCAAAACCGGAAAAUCUAGACAACAAUUAGAUCAAAUACAGAAGUUUUCUAAGCUGUACAGCACAAAUGACAUGAGACCAGAAGAAACAGUGGAAACAACAUUGCCAGUCCUCAGAAUUGAACACUGUGACCAAUCAAUAAAUUUAGGCAAAGAAGAAAAGUUUUUUCCUGCUGUAAAUGCCAGAUGUUUGUGGAUAGGAAGCUCUACUGGUUUGUUCAUAAUUAACUUGGCAAACUUUGAAUUAGAAGCUGUUUUACAUUAUAAAGAUUACAGUGGCCUCACCAUUAAAUUUGCUGGAUCAUGCGCAUUAAUGAGGAAGGCAGUUAAUGGGAAGGUUUUCUGCUUGCUUACUUCGAUGUUUGAAAAUACGAUUGCUUUGCUGGAGAUUAACCUUGCUGCUUUGAUGAGAUCUCAGCAGAGUGAUUUUCUCUUAUGUGGAAAGGAGAAGAGGCUUUCAGUUAUUGCAAGUUGCUCUCUGUUGCCAAAUUCUCCAUUGUGUACUGAGUCUUUCAAGAAGGAAAGCUGCAAACCUACCAAUAAAAAAAAACUUGGUACGAAGAGCACAAUGAAAGACCAGUCACUGGUUUUCCACAGUAAAAUUAAGUCAUCAGGUUACACAACAGCACCACAAAUGACCAUGUUUUCUCCAAAGACUAACUUGAAGAAAAAUAACAAGAUAUCCGAGUGGAAGAGCAGUUGCAAACGAAAAAAUAAAGAAUAUCUAUUGGAAAAUUCUCCUCCAACUAAAUCUGAGAGACAGAUAUCAGUAGCUAAUAAACCAACUUCUAUUUGCUGUAUUCAGUAUUCAGGGGAUGGAGAGCUGUUAGCUUGUGGCCUAGCUGACAAAUCUUUACUGGUAUUCAAUUCCAAUCUGACAGGAACACCAGCUGUUUUUUCAGGUCAUGAUGGUGCAAUUAACUCUGUUGGCUGGAGUCAUGACAAGAGGUGGUUAGUUUCUGCAUCAGAAGACAGAACAUUAAGGAUCUGGUCAGUCCGCAAUACAGAACCUGCCCUAUUUCUGGGCAAGGAGAUGUUCCAUAAAUCUAUACGCUUUGCACAGUUUUAUUACAUAGAUACAUUUAUAUUGCUGUGUUGUGGAGCUGAAUUUCGUCUGUUAAGUUACUAUCUUGACACGAGCAAGGAUGACCUAAAACGAUAUAAACAGAAGAGCAUUUGCAAAUCAGUACAGAAAUUCCCCAUGGCUUCUACUGUGGAGAUUACUAGCCUUUCAGCAAUAAAUGAUUUCUACUCUUAUAUUAUACUUGCAGCUGGUAGCAACCGAACAUUAGAAGUUUUUGACCUCAAUGCAGGCUGCAGUGCAGCAGUGAUACCAGAUGCUCAUUCUAGAUCAGUCCACCAGAUCUGUCAAAAUAAGGGAUCAGCUUUUAGCACUCAGCCGCUUGAAGCUUACAAUCUUUUCAUGACCACAGCCACUGGUGAUGGCAUCAAACUGUGGGAUUUGAGAACACUGAGGUGUGAACGUCGAUUUGAAGGACAUAUUAACCGCUGCCACCCAUGUGGAAUAGCUGUCACUCCCUGUGGGCAAUUCAUAGCCUGUGGAUCAGAAGAUAAAAGCGCUUACAUAUAUGAGAUGCGUUCGAGUACCUUUUCCCAUAAAUUGGCAGGACACACGGAAUCGGUGAUCAAUGUGGCUUUUAGUCCCUCGUCUCCACAGAUACAGAAGUAGAGAGGGAACCAAUGGAGACUUUCAGAAGGGGAUGACACUGCUGGAAUGGCAGCUCACCACAGCCACCUUGGAUGGCAAACUCCAGUUGUUUCUACCUUGAUGCUUGCCAGCCUGUGGAACGCUGGCCUUGGUGCUCUGGAAAUAACAGCUUGCUGAGAGAAAGGAGAUUGGCAACUGUGCAAGCCACAAAAUAUUCCUUUUUAAAUUACAGUUGUAGAAAUAAUGUCACUUACACUGGAAAAAUAAGGACAAGAUACAGUGUGGUACAAUUGUACUCAUUCGGGCCUCAGUACAGUAAAGGCUGAAGGAUUUAUGUCAAUGGGGCUACUCACAUGCUUAAAGGUAAGCAUGCUUAAAGGCUCUAUUGGAGUCUCUUAUCUGUAGGUUGGUGACACAGUUAAAAUAGAAAGUGAUCCAGGUUUAAAGCUAAAAUUUCUGUGUAUAACUAAAGACUUGAAAUGUUCCUUUUUUUUUUUUUUUUUAAGGAGAGUUCCUCAUUCUUAAUGAAGUGACAUUAGGAGUCAUGUUGGUCCCUUGUUUAUAUCUAUGCAACUCCCAUGAGGUUACUGGAAGUAACUUGGGUAUAGCAGAAUUUGGUCCUCAUUACUGAGACAAUCUGAUUUACAUCCAUUUUAUUGCAUUCUGUUAUCCCUUGUACCCAUUCUGUUAAGUUGUUAGGGAUGGGGGAAAGACUCUUAUUUUAAAGGCUUUGUCUUCACAGAGCUAACUUGAUAUUUUAGUUUGGUAAUUUACUUACGUUUAGUUUUAUUGUGACAGUAGGGGUGUGCCCCAUUUCUAGAAAUAGAAAAUUUGAAAAGUAUUGAAGUAGAAAAUUAGUUCUGGGAGAAAGCUUUGGAGGUUUUAUUUUAUUUUAUUUUUUACAAUCUCUAGCUAUAUUUGCCCUAAUCUUUGAAAAUUCUGAUGUUGGAUGUUGUUUUGAAUAAUAAACUGGUGUUCGAGUCA